GAUGAACGCUGGCGGCGUGCCUAAUACAUGCAAGUCGAGCGAACUGAUUAGAAGCUUGCUUCUAUGACGUUAGCGGCGGACGGGUGAGUAACACGUGGGCAACCUGCCUGUAAGGCUGGGAUAACUUCGGGAACCCGAAGCUAAUACCGGAUAGGAUCUCCUCCUUCAUGGGAGUUGAUUGAAAGAUGGUUUCGGCUAUCACUUGCAGAUGCGCCCGGGGUGCAUUAGCUAGUUGGUGAGGUAACGGCUCACCAAGGCGACGAUGCAUAGCCGACCUGAGAGGGUGAUCGGCCACACUGGGACUGAGACACGGCCCAGACUCCUACGGGAGGCAGCAGUAGGGAAUCUUCCGCAAUGGACGAAAGUCUGACGGAGCAACGCCGCGUGAGUGAUGAAGGCUUUCGGGUCGUAAAACUCUGUUGUUAGGGAAGAACAAGUACAAGAGUAACUGCUCGUACCUUGACGGUACCUAACCAGAAAGCCACGGCUAACUACGUGCCAGCCGCCGCCGUAACAC
rnacentral:rRNA from 1 species